GUGAGGAAUAUUGGUCAAUGGGCGGGAGCCUGAACCAGCCAAGUCGCGUGAAGGAAGAAGGAUCUAUGGUUCGUAAACUUCUUUUGCAGGGGAAUAAAGUGCAGGACGUGUCCUGUUUUGUAUGUACCCUGAGAAUAAGGAUCGGCUAACUCCGUGCCAGCAGCCGCGGUAAUACGGAGGAUCCGAGCGUUAUCCGGAUUUAUUGGGUUUAAAGGGUGCGUAGGUGGUUUGAUAAGUCAGCGGUGAAAGUUUGCAGCUUAACUGUAAAAAUGCCGUUGAAACUGUCGGACUUGAGUGUAAAUGAGGUAGGCGGAAUGCGUGGUGUAGCGGUGAAAUGCAUAGAUAUCACGCAGAACUCCGAUUGCGAAGGCAGCUUACUAAGCUACAACUGACACUGAAGCACGAAAGCGUGAGGAUCAAACAGGAUUAGAUACCCUUGUAGUCC
rnacentral:rRNA from 1 species